AAGUUAAGAGGGUUCAUGUUUUUGUUGCUAACUAAUAAUAUUUAACGUUCAAAUCGUUAAUUAAUUUA
rnacentral:tRNA from 1 species